CAGGUCCUGGCCUUUCCAUUAGUUCUAGGUAAAACUACACAUGCAAGUAUCCGCGCUCCUGUGAGAAUGCCCUUAAAAUCAUACUUGACCAAAAGGAGCUGGCAUCAAGCUCACUACCAAGUAGCUCAUGACGCCAUGCUUAACCACGCCCCCACGGGAUACAGCAGUGAUAAAAAUUAAGCCAUGAACGAAAGUUCGACUAAGCUAUACCUAUAUUCCAGGGUUGGUAAAUUUCGUGCCAGCCACCGCGGCCAUACGAUUAACCCAAAUUAAUGGGACAACGGCGUAAAGCGUGUUUAAGAGAGCAACAAAAUAAAGUUAAAUUCUGACUAAGCUGUAAAAAGCCCUAGCCAAAAUAAAAAUAAACCACGAAAGUAACUUUACAGAUCUCUGAGUACACGACAGCUAAGACCCAAACUGGGAUUAGAUACCCCACUUUGCUUAGCUUUUAACCCAAAUAAUUUGCCCAACAAUAUUAUUCGCCAGAGUACUACUAACAACAGCCUUAAACUCUAAGGACUUGGCGGUGCUUUUAUCCUCCUAGAAGAGCUGUCCUAUAACGAUAAACCCGAUAGACCUCACCAACUCCCUAUAUACCGCCUUCCUCAGCAAACC
rnacentral:rRNA from 1 species